rnacentral:snoRNA from 9 species
GUGCUUUAGGGAUGAACAAGUCCCUAAUAAAUAUCGAUCCAUCCAUCACUUUGUCGGCAAUAUUCGUUUUUGGUUUGUUGCCUGAUCAUUUAAGGGUGGAAUAUGC